CUCAAAGAUUAAGCCAUGCAUGUCUAAGUACAAACUAUAUCUUAUAGUGAAACCGCAAAAGGCUCAGUACAACAGCUAUUAUUUAUUUGAUUAUAAAAACAGUUACUUGGAUAACUGUGGUAAUUCCAGAGCUAAUACAUGCAAACAACAUGUCACACGGUGCUUGCAUUGUGAGACAUGUGCUUUUAUUAGAUUAAAACCAUAUCGACUUUCGGGUUGAUUACCUUUAGAUGAAUCUGGAUAAUUUUGGCUGAUCGUAUGGUCUCGUACCGACGACAUAUCAUUCAAAUGUCUGCCCUAUCAACUAUUGAUGGUAGUAUAGAGGACUACCAUGGUUGCAACGGGUAACGGGGAAUCAGGGUUCGAUUCCGGAGAGGGAGCCUGAGAAACGGCUACCACAUCUAAGGAAGGCAGCAGGCGCGUAAAUUACCCAAUCCCGGCACGGGGAGGUAGUGACGAAAAAUAACAAUACAGGACUCACAUCCGAGGCCCUGUAAUUGGAAUGAGUACACUUUAAAUCCUUUAACGAGUAACAAUUGGAGGGCAAGUCUGGUGCCAGCAGCCGCGGUAAUUCCAGCUCCAAUAGCGUAUAUUAAAGUUGUUGCGGUUAAAACGUUCGUAGUUGAAUUUGUGUCCCACACGGGUAAUUGGCCCACUUACGGGUUCUUAUUACUUGCCGGCUUGCUGGCUUUAGUGUGCGGACGUUUUACCGGUGAGGGAAACGGUGUAGUUUCGGCUGCAAUACGCCCCUUAUUUAUUUCAUAAACCCGUCUUGGUGCUUUUAAUCGAGUGCCAAUGUGGGCCGGUACUAUUACUUUGAACAAAUUAGAGUGCUUAAAGCAGGCUAAAUUUAAUGAAAGUUAAAACGCCUGAAUAUAUUUUGCAUGGAAUAAUGGAAUAGGACCUCUGUUCUACUUUCAUUGGUUUUUAGACCAAGAGGUAAUGAUUAAUAGAAGCAGUUGGGGGCAUUAGUAUUACGAGGCGAGAGGUGAAAUUCGUAGACCCUCGUAAGACUAACUUAAGCGAAAGCAUUUGCCAAGGAUGUUUUCAUUAAUCAAGAACGAAAGUUAGAGGAUCGAAGGCGAUCAGAUACCGCCCUAGUUCUAACCAUAAACGAUGCCAGCUAGCAAUUGUAUGUAGCUACUAAUUUUGGUUCAUACAGUCGCUUUCCGGGAAACCAAAGCUUUUGGGCUCCGGGGGAAGUAUGGUUGCAAAGCUGAAACUUAAAGGAAUUGACG
rnacentral:rRNA from 1 species